CGCGGAAUAAAAUCCUAUGCAUUAACAUUUUGACAACGAUAUUACGUGUUACCAGAAGUUGUGUAAGCGGAAAUUCCACUACCCGUAACCUGGAUGGAGGUAUAAUGCCGCCAGAGCUUAAAUACACGCAACGCCCACCCGAUGCAAUGGAAAAGACUGACGCUGAAACAAGUUUUCACUUCGCGUUUUUCGAUCAUCAGAUUCUAAACGACGACGUGUAAGUGAGUUUUUAUUGCAGUGCGUUUUACUGUAAUCGUGAAUGAUUUUAACUUUAUUCACUUACUUCCUGGAGAACGCGGCACUAUCUUAAAAGCAGCACCCACUCGACAUGACCGAAGAAAUGUGCUCGGUUUGCCGUUUUCAUUCAUCAGAUUCGAAACGAAGAUGUAUCAUCGCAUCGAAACGUAGAAGAACUGUAACGACUGGAGCGGAGCGAGUGAAAUGCAUCGGUUUGAGCGAGGCUGGACACAACGUUAAAAAGAUCCAGCAGACACUUGGAGUCGGAAAGACGCAAAUCUACGAAACUUUAAAAAACAAGGCAUCGAUAAACUUCUGAUGAUAAGCCACCAUCCAGCAAGGAAGCAAUGCAAAUGGCAACAAAAAUCCUUCAGUAUGCACAAGAAUUACCAGACAUCGGUGACCAAUGGGACAGUUACUUGCAACUAGCAAGAAAACUGUAUGACACGCAGGCAAACAUUGUCAUAAACCAAAGAAUGCAUCCAACAAAACAAUCCAAAAUACAUUUUUUUUCCCGAGACAGAAAAAAUAAACAUUAAAAUACUGUAUGUAUUUUACUGUUGUGAUUUUUUUUUUUGGAUACACCUGUAUUGCAGUUUUUGUUAUAUAAACAGUUUUUGGACAGU